UAAUUCAAAAGCAUCAAUUCUUCGGCGAUCAGCCUUCUUUAUGGUCCAGCUCUCACUUCCAUAAAGAAGACUGAUCUCUGAAGAAUUGAUGCUUUUGAAUUA